UACGGAGGAUGCGAGCGUUAUCCGGAUUUAUUGGGUUUAAAGGGAGCGUAGACGGGAUGUUAAGUCAGCUGUGAAAGUUUGGGGCUCAACCUUAAAAUUGCAGUUGAAACUGGCAUUCUUGAGUGCGGCAGAGGCAGGCGGAAUUCGUGGUGUAGCGGUGAAAUGCUUAGAUAUCACGAAGAACUCCGAUUGCGAAGGCAGCUUGCUGGAGCGUAACUGACGUUGAUGCUCGAAAGUGUGGGGAGCAAACAGG
rnacentral:rRNA from 1 species